GACCAGACUCCUACGGGAGGCAGCAGUGGGGAAUAUUGCACAAUGGGGGAAACCCUGAUGCAGCGACGCCGCGUGAGCAAUGAAGUAUUUCGGUAUGUAAAGCUCUAUCAGCAGGGAAGAAAAUGACGGUACCUGACUAAGAAGCCCCGGCUAACUACGUGCCAGCAGCCGCGGUAAUACGUAGGGGGCAAGCGUUAUCCGGAUUUACUGGGUGUAAAGGGAGCGUAGACGGCUGUGCAAGCCAGAUGUGAAAGCCCGGGGCUCAACCCCGGGACUGCAUUUGGAACUGUGUGGCUGGAGUGUCGGAGAGGCAGGCGGAAUUCCUAGUGUAGCGGUGAAAUGCGUAGAUAUUAGGAGGAACACCAGUGGCGAAGGCGGCCUGCUGGACGAUGACUGACGUUGAGGCUCGAAAGCGUGGGGAGCAAACAGGAUUAGAUACCCCGGUACAA
rnacentral:rRNA from 1 species